GACGAACGCUGGCGGCGUGCCUAAUACAUGCAAGUCGAACGCAGUGGGGACGGGUGAGUAACACGUGGGUAACCUCCCAUCAGAGGGGAUAACACUUGGAAACAGGUGCUAAACCGAUACUGAUGGAUGGACCCGCGGUGCAUUAGCUAGUUGGUGGGGUAACGGCUCACCAAGGCCACGAUGCAUAACGGACCUGAGAGAGUGAUAGGCCACACUGGGACUGAGACACGACCCAGACCCCUGGGGAAGGCAGCAGUGGGGAGUCUACGGCAAUGGACGAAAGUCUGACAGAGCAACGCGGCGUGAGUGAAGAAGGUUUUCGGAUCGUAAAACUCUGUGGUUAGAGAAGCGGUAUCUAACCAGAAAGCCACGGCUAACUACGUGCCAGCAGCCGCGGUAAUU
rnacentral:rRNA from 1 species